rnacentral:tRNA from 1 species
GGCAUGUUGCCAGAGUGGUUAAUGGGUGAGACUUGAAAUCUCAUGGCUUCGGCCGCGUAGGUUCAAAUCCUGCACAUGUCG